GUUUACGUAAUAGCUAGAGAGGUUAGCAUCCCCUUUGACAAGGAUGGAAGAGACCCUUAGGCCUGACAAAUAAAAUAAAAAAAUAGCUGU
ensembl:snRNA